AUAAUGCUGGUCACUUUUUGAAUUUCAAACAAUACAUUUUUUGGCCCAAAACAGUGUAGUUGAAAGUACAUACAGUUACAAAUACUGCAGUCAUGAUUACAUCUAGUCUGUUUGGUUUUAUACAGUUACAACUGCUGCAGUUACAUUUCUUCUGUUUGAUAGUCUGUAGUUGAGAUUUGUAUUUGUAAAUUCUAUCAAUUUUUAGAUAGAAAUGUGCGAUUACCUCUCUUGAGCAUAACAUAAUCAUAUUUUAAUUAUUAAUUAAAACUUUUAUAUCUAUAUAAUAAAUUUAUAUAUUAUAAAAUUAUGUAUGAAUUUAAUAAAUUUUAAAUGCAAAUAUAUUAUAGAUUUGGUCAAAACAAAAAUUAAGAAAACUAGCAGACUGAAAAAAAAAACAUAUGAAAAAAAUUUAUUGACCCUAACAGAUAUUAUUAAACCCUAUCAGAUUUCAUGAAUAAGUAUUUUUGGAAAAAUAAAAAAUAAAAAAAGAAGCGUAUGAAAAAUAAAGUCACACUUUGUUUAUUUUUUUAAUGGGUGAGCCGACUUCGGUCAAACUACUGCAGUUGGGCCUUCUCGUGCAAAUGCAACUGCAGCAGUUGGGCUUAACUACACCAAACCGAAUAAAAAUUUAAUAGAUGCAUGUUUUUUCAACUGUAG
rnacentral:lncRNA from 1 species